UCUCUCUCUCUCUCUCUCUCUCUCUCUCUCACCUUUUUGUCUCUCUCACUUGAACGGCGGUGAGCCACGAUCGGAGAUCGGCAACAGUGGUGGCGAGGGACGAGCGACGAUCGGUGACAGUGGCGGUGAGCAGCGAUUGAAGCCUCGAUUGGAAGCAAAAGAAAAACUUUAUUGAUGACGACAACAUACAUUCGUAUGAGAUUACAUCAAUAAAUGAGGGAAGUGCAUAAAGCUCAAUCAUGAGCUAGCACAACUACAAAGGUUAGAGAGGAACCAACACAAGCCAAAGGAAGAGAAAAGAAGAAAAGAGAGGUGCAGACCGACACUAGUGUUGCAACAUGUUGCUGCUGCCACAACACACUUGCUUCAGGACAUCAGUAAAUCAACAAUUCUGUUAAGGCUCUCUUAAUAGACCGAGAAGGCACCGUCUCUGGGAUUCUGAUAUACAGCAGAAAGCAACAGACCUAUGUCAUACAACCUCUCACCUGAGCAUUAAUAAGUGGACUACAAUCCAACACAAAACCCAAUCCAUCAGCAGCCAUUAGCAUACAUCUCAUGAUCCAAAGAAUCACCAAGACUUCCAGCAUCUAAUGACAUCAAAACAACCCAACAGACAGAUCAACAAUCAGAGCAAAAUAUUAGAAAAACACCAGAAAUUCACCCUUCACCUCCACCAUAGACUAACCAUUUGCCAUCCCCAGCUUAACACCAGUGAUAGCUAGAAACCAAGCCGAAUCUCCUGAAUGUUGCAGAUAAUCUACUGCACUGAGUAACAGCAAUCCUAAGCAUAAAUUUGGCCCACAAUGCAAUCCUUGUCUUGAUUAAUUCACACAGCUUCCCGAAGUGCAUUUGCC